GGGGGCGUCCCGGAUUCGACGGAAGUGGAUGAGAUGAGGAGGCGUGCCGGGUUCCAUGCUCCCGCAAUCGCAUGGAAAACCACAACUGCCAAUUCUAAUCAACUGGCAUACGCUGCUUAAUUAGCAACGUCGUUCACGCAAGUUCGCCUGUAGGCUUGUAGUGGGCGUCACUUUUGCAGGCUGGUCUGUGGCGCAAUGUCCCGGCGUCGCAGUCGAGAACUCCGCAAGGGGUAGGGGCUGGCGCUGAUCGGCUCUUGUCCGCUCUGACCGGCCAGCGCGAGAUCCACCGGAACGGACUACGCCCGUAGCUCUCCUCACCGGCAGCACUUUCGGACGGGGGUUCAACUCCCCCCGCCUCCACCA
rnacentral:tmRNA from 1 species